GGCCAGUGCAUUGCAGGCAACACAAGGCACUUCCUUAAGUGAUCCAGUUCUGCCUGGAGUCGCUCCCUCUCGGAAACAAUCUUCUGUUUCUGGCUCCUCAACUCCUGGAGAGAGAGAUUGAUUCAGAUACUGGGCCUGCUUUUCACAGGAGUGGCUUCAAACUUGCAAGGGUCAAGGACAAGUCCCUGCUUUUCUAGGAAGCGUUUUGAGAAUGGAGACCCGGGAGAGCAAGCGGACAGCCUACAGAAGGGACAGCGCAAGGAGGGGCACUAAAAGAGCCUCCUGCCCCCUCAGCACACAGACUGAAGUUGUUAAAAGCGCUACCGAAUGCAGCCCUGAACAAGCAACAUCAGAAAACACGAAAGCUGACCUCUCCACCGGAAACACGAACUCUGACAAGUCCUCUGCGGCCAACUCGGCAGGAAUGAGGACCUCUAUUUGGUCCCCAAGGUUCAUAAACCAGAGAAGCGGCUCUCUGUCACUGCCACUCUCUGUUCAAGAGCCCAGAGCUCAAGGAGAGAACUAAACUAUCACAGAAGGUCUGACCAGCUAGGACUACCUGAGGAAUAGGGGACAACAAAAACUGAAAAA